rnacentral:lncRNA from 1 species
UCGACCGCUAGCGGCAGCGUGCAUAGUGAAACGGCGGCGCCAUCUCCGCUGAUUUUCCUACCACGACGGUGUGCUCGGAGCCGUCCUUCAAGGUGGAACACGACCACCCCUGCCAUCCAUCCCUCUAGGAAGAUCCUAUGGCACUGCCACUGGCCUUGUGGCUCUGGAGCCCCUUGUAGGUGCACAAUCAGGACAAACGUGCCAUAAGCAUCAAGGGAUUUGAGGCACUUAUCUGCAGGACAUGACACCUUCUCCUAUGGACGCUGAGGUCAAACCCUCCUCCCAAGGUGACCAUACAAUCACAUUCGUACAAUUUUGCAAAACUGUGUUUCUCAUUGUCUUGCACUCGCGUCCGUACAAUAUUUCAUUUUUGUUUUGUUUCGAAAAGCGUACAGUAUUUUCAUUGAAUCUGUGACUUUUCUCCUAUACUAAUGGAGAAAUUUGCAGGUCCAAAUUUUGUGCUAUGAAGUAAAGGAAAUAUUUCUGGAGGAAACUAAUGUUCAUGUAUGGUAUCUUUCCCACAAUUUUGCAAUGGCGCCAUUUUAUUAAUAUAGUUAAUUGGUUGUACAAAAUAUAAUGAUGGUUUCCUCUGUUUAGUAACAUCAUGCCAUCAUCCUCAUAGUUUUGUUCUACACUUGUAUUUAUUAAUGUUCUAUUCAGUUUUCUUGUGUGGAAGCGACCAACUAGAAAAGGCAGGACGAGUUUCUUAAUAAUGAUCAUGUUUUGGUGCUACACACAAGAAGUUGCCUGCUCCGAGUUUUAUUGGUUGCUGCUGCAGGAUUACAUGAAUCAUUUUUCUCCAGGAUUGUUGUGUCAUCCGAGCAUUUUACUCUAUACAGGUAUGCAACUUGAAAUCUCCCAAAUCAAAUUCGUUCCUUUGCUCACUUCAAUGGUAAUUACCAUGUAAUUCUUUCAAGUUUCUUUCAUAGAUUCAAUUUAUUAUGAUUAAAUUUAUAUCAAGGAAAAGUUUUCAUCAUAUUUUUGGAAGAAUUCUCAAUGUUCUAUGUGUUUGUCCUUUUUGUUCCAUCCAAUUAGGCUUGAAAUAAGUUCCACUGUUCUUUACUUCGGCAGUGUUUGCCUUGUUGUAUCAGUGUGUCGCCAAACCUCAUCUCCCACUAUGCAUGUGUGUUGCUUUGGGAAUCGUCGCAAAGGAGAUUACAAUGUAAUUUUGCUAGAUUUUUAAUGACUUCACUUUGUUUGAAUGUGGGACCUAAUAGGUGACACAGGUAAUAGUAUUUUGACUUAUCUACUUUUAGUGUAGGAGGCCUAUGCGAGCAUGAAGAAAACUUUCAAACCAUCUAAUCGUAAAUCCGUUACAUGUACAAUUUUUUAUGUUAUAAAUCUCUAGGCAUCGAUUACUUUACGUGAUUCUAAUUUCUAAUUCAAGAAUUCGUUCCAUAUUAUAACUCAGAAGUCUUCUAUGUGUAUCAUAUAUUGAGUUUCAGGUGGACACUAAGAUAGCAUCGGAGCACCAACUUAGUUCCAACGUAAAUACAUGAUUCUGGAGUCCCACAGCUGGAAACGUUUAGUACUUACCAUUUUUCUCAUUUCCUACAGUUUUUAUUUCGAUGUUCCAUAAAUUAGCUGAUUAAGUGCCUGAAAGCAAACCAGUUGCUAUAUAUACUCGAGGUAGCAAAUAAGCAAGUACAAUAUACUAGAGUCUAUGAAUGUCUUGAAUUUUGUUGCAAUAUAUCUCAACAUCCAAAUUUUAUUUUGCGCAUCCUGUAGAUUAUCUUUCUCUAAAUCGGCCCUUUUUCAGUUAUGAGCAGCAAUAGUACUACAUUAAGAUUAUAACUUAGGUACAGUUUUUGCUUUCUAAUUCACGAGUGUCUCUACUAUUACUGGAGUGCAGACUCGGUAUCUAAGUUUUACUAUGUGAUGCCAUGGCAACUGUCUGGCGAACACGACUGAACCUUAUAAGCUAGCCUAAAGAACACAAAAGUCCAUUCCCUUUGGUUCUGCUGCUCCUCAUAAAUACUCAUGUUGCUUACUACAGUUCUGAGGUAUAUACAAGACGCGAGGGGUGACAAUCAGGAUAUAAACUGUUAUGCUCAAACUUAUUCAAAAUUAGUGCAGAAAGUUUGGUAGUUGCCAGAUGAAGUUGUUGAAGAGGAUUCAAGUUUCAUUUCAAUAAAAAGUAUUUGAUUGACUCUUUGCUGAAAUUAAUUUCAGUACACUAAUGCAUGGACGCACUGGUUGCAUGCUAGGUGUACUGACCUAUUACACAUCUUCGCAUUUAUUCCAGUUCACUUUCGUUCUAAUACUCUUUGUUUUUUCUCUUACACAAGAGACAAGAUGUUACUUGCUAUAUCAGUUAUGUUGUCAUGCCACAGUCUGGUUACUGAUUGGUCGACAUUUUAAUUUGGAUCAUAUUUAAUUCAUACAAGUCUAGCGACACCCUUUUCCAUGCUAAUGUUUUGGUAAGGCUUUUCAUGUAUCGAAUGGAAUUGUCGGUCUGUCACUUUCUCACCGCCUGGCUGGUCUUUAAUAAAACAAGCAAACAAAACUGAAUUAUAUGAUUAGUACAUAUCCAUAUUAUGUAGGAUAGUUUUAUUUGAUAAUUCUAACUAAUUAUAAUCCUUGUUAGCACUCUUAUCACAUGAAUGUGAUGAACUCUGUGAGAAAUGGCUAGGUGCAACAGGCCCACCCAGUUCUUUGUUUUCGAACAUGGUGGCCCUUUAGGCUCUCACCUAAUUUUUUAUUUUCGAAUAUGGUGGCCCUUUAGUAGAGUCCUGUUAAGAGUUUGGUAAUGCACCAUGUAUACAAUCUUUGGCUUAUUGCUUAUUUUGUCUUGGUAGUAUUGAUUAGUUGUAUUUACAAUCUAAUUAAAUUGUUGUAUAUAUUUUAUACCCAGCCAAUUUGAAUAUGUGAAGCAUAAUUUUACCGCGUGUAUAUGAGAUUUCCUCAUAUUACAGACUAAUUUAUGGUUAUGUUUAUGCAAAUUUA